rnacentral:rRNA from 1 species
GACGAACGCUGGCGGCGUGCUUAACACAUGCAAGUCGAACGGAAAGGCCCUGCUUGCAGGGUGCUCGAGUGGCGAACGGGUGAGUAACACGUGGGUGAUCUGCCCCUUACUUUGGGAUAAGCCUGGGAAACUGGGUCUAAUACUGGAUAGGACCAUGCUGUAGGUGGUGUGGUGGAAAGAUUAGUUUCGGUAAGGGAUGAGCUCGCGGCCUAUCAGCUUGUUGGUGGGGUAAUGGCCUACCAAGGCGUCGACGGGUAGCCGGCCUGAGAGGGUGGACGGCCACAUUGGGACUGAGAUACGGCCCAGAGUCCUACGGGAGGCAGCAGUGGGGAAUAUUGCACAAUGGGAGCAAGCCUGAUGCAGCGACGCCGCGUGGGGGAUGACGGCCUUCGGGUUGUAAACUCCUUUCAGCCAUGACGAAGCCCUUGUGGUGACGGUAGUGGUAGAAGAAGCACCGGCUAACUACGUG